UACGAGGGGGGCAAGCGUUGUUCGGAAUUAUUGGGCGUAAAGGGCGCGUAGGCGGUGCGGUAAGUCACCUGUGAAAACUCUGGGCUCAACUCAGAGCCUGCAGGCGAAACUGCCGUGCUGGAGUGUGGGAGAGGUGCGUGGAAUCCCCGGUGUAGCGGUGAAAUGCGUAGAUAUCAGGAGGAACACCAAUGGCGAAGGCAGCUCGCUGGGACGGUACUGACGCUGAGGCGCGAAAGCGUGGGGAGCAAACAGG
rnacentral:rRNA from 1 species